CACUCACAAUUAAAUUCAUGUCAUAAGGCCAAAACAAAAAAUAUGUUUGUUUCAGGUCGCCUCUGAUUUUAAAAAAAAGGAUAGGUAGGGAGGUUUUUUUGUGUUUUUUUUUUUUUAAAUAUUAAAAAAAAAAAUAAAUAUGUGCCUUUGAAUCAAUGAAAAUUUGAUAGUUAAAGUUGUUAUACAAUGUGUUUAAUAGAUAAAAAAUGGGUUCAGAGCACAAUGUUUAAUUGACAAAAUACACAGUAUGUGAUGGAAAAUUGAAAAAAAUUAAUAGGGUCGGUGGAUAUAUUUAGGGUCGGUCGGGCGACCUGAAACAAACAUAUUUUUUAUUUUGGCCUAAUGUUGUCUGGACAGUUUGCUGUAUGACGUUUAUAUAGUAAAAAAAUGAUGCAGCGGAUUGUAAACAAUUUGUGUGACCUUGUCCUAAUUUUAUAUCCCGACAUUUACCCAAACGAAAGAGCUGCUUGUGGCACUAAGGAAAUGGGACAUGAUGAGCAUCCUUAAUCUACGCCGAGACUGAAUUACUUUUAGUGAUUACUGUGGUCAAUACAGCGAAGACAAACUUGGAGGGCUGUUAAGGAAGUACCCACCUGAUAUGAUCUGAUGAGACUCUGUACAUGAUAGUAUUCUUGGCUCUGUUUCUGCAAGUCUACAGAAGUGGAAGGCUGAGCAUGUGGAAUCAAUUGAGAUGGACUGGUGAAUUCCCCAUUUUUAAAAUAGGCGUCCCAGGACUUAACAGAAUGGAAAAAGCAGUAAAUCAAUUUAAACUGGACAGUAUAUAAUUGUGCCUAUAUAUAUAAAUACAACAUGUCUUCCCCCUAUACAUUCUCUCAGUUCUCUAAAAGCUGGGCCAGUACAUUAAAAUGGGAAUGUGUUAUUCAUGAGAAACAAUUAAUAAUCAACUCAAAAUUCUUCAAUAUGUUGUCACAUAUAAAUGUCUUCUUUAUAAUCUAUCACAUCUGUAAAAUACAUUAAACUAAAGACUGAAAA